GUUCUUUCCCACCAUGAGGAGCCUUCUGGUGCACAGAAACGGCCAUGUCCUCACCUCGCGGGCAUUAAAAUGGCAGCCAGCGAGCCGUGAGGAAAAGCCCUCUGCCACCUGCACCGGCGUUCCCUCCUGACAGGCGCAGACGCUGCUCACAAGGCUCGUGGUGUCUCAGGGGGGAGCAGAGCAGAAAGCAGAGCCCUAGGGGCAGGGGGAUUUGUGACUGCCACACAGACAUGGCCAGGGCAGAGCUGCUCGUAGCUGUCACAAAGACAUCAACUGAAUUUGUACAGUAAUGCAAGAUAAUUCCACAUUCUACUCUACUGGAAAACAUGGUACCUUCAGGUAUUCCUAGACACAGUGCUGAGAGAUAAAGAAACCAGAAUCAGACACGAUGGUAUACGGCACCCAUCAGUGGUAUACUCUGCAUGUGACAGGUAGCCAGAUACUUGAGGCACAGAAGAACCCUUAUUUUGGGCCUGGAUUAUCAAGAAGAAGAUGUGUGACCAUUCUAGUGACUGAAAGCCACAGAUACCGGAAGACUUUGCUGCAGAGAAGAACGUUGCCUACAGGUCUUGCAGAAUGUUGUGUUGGUGGCAUACAGCACUGGUGUGCCCUUAACUGUCCCUGUGGAUAGCGUUUGUGUUGUUUUGAAAAUAAAGUUUUGCAUCUGGCAUGGUUUUUUUUUUCC
rnacentral:lncRNA from 1 species